rnacentral:rRNA from 1 species
UACGUAGGGUGCAAGCGUUGUCCGGAAUUAUUGGGCGUAAAGGGCUCGUAGGCGGUCCAUCGCGUCGGGAGUGAAAAGCUGGGGCUUAACCCCAGUCCUGCUUCCGAUACGGGUGGACUAGAGGUAGGUAGGGGAGAUCGGAAUUCCUGGUGUAGCGGUGGAAUGCGCAGAUAUCAGGAGGAACACCAAUAGCGAAGGCAGCUCGCUGGGACGUUACUGACACUGAGGCGCGAAAGCGUGGGGAGCGAAC